UAUUAAUAAUUAUUAUAUUGAUUUAUAAUUUUUGUAGGGCCAGGAAGGCUCCUCCAUAUGUUGGGCUGCUUUCGACAAAAAUGGAGAAGAAGUGGUAACUUCUAAAGAUAAUUUAGAAGAUGAGACUGAAGAUGAUGACCUAUUUGAAACUGAGUUUAGACAAUAUAAAAGAACAUAUUACAUGACGAAGAUGGGAGUUGAUGUAGUAUCUGAUGACUUCCUGGCUGAUCAAGCUGCAUGUUAUGUUCAGGCAAUACAGUGGAUUUUGCACUAUUACUAUCAUGGAGUUCAGUCCUGGAGCUGGUGAGGGAAUAAAAGAAAAAUAAAGUUUUGAUUUUUUUUUUUUUAAUAAUGAUUCAUUACUAUAAUCUCAUUUGGGAUUCUCUUUUCUCUUUAUUCCUAUUUAUGGUAGCAUUUUUAAAAAGGCACAUAUGGCCAAGUUUAAAUGAAAUACCAGUAAUCUUUUCUUAUAUGAAAAUAGUUUUUAAAGACUUUUGUGUAACAAAGAUGCUUCCAGCCCUAGCAAAUGGCCAUUAAUGAAAGCUCUUUAAAUCUAAGGAUUUAAAAUUUUCUAUCAUGAGGAAUCAGCUGUGACAAAGUCUUGAUAAUUAUUGGGUCUGAGUGAUGGUUAUAUAGGGUUGUUCAUUAUAUUCUUUGCUACAUUAUUGUAUACUUGAAAAAAUUGUUCUAGUGAGUAAUUAUUAAAGAAUGGGUUAUUUCAAUGUUAGACUGGGAAGGGUAAAAAAGAAAUGAGAAAGGAAUUAUUUGCUUUUCCUGGAAAUAGUAAUAAUAAUCAUGCUUCCUCUUCCAGCAAGUUCCAUCUACAUUUCCAAACCAUCCACCAAAAUAGAAAAAUAACAAACCCAGGGAAGAGUAGAGACUUUUAGGAGAUGAGAUAGUUUAUGUUGUUUUGAUAGCACCUUUGCUAGGCUUUGUUUUAAAGCACCACACAGCAGACCUUCCAAAACUCAAACAGGAAGAAAUAGAAAACUUGAACAGACCCAUAACCAGCAAAGAAAUUGAAUCAGUUAUCAAAAAUCUCCCAACAAAUAAGA